GAGUUUGAUCAUGGCUCAGAUUGAACGCUGGCGGCAUGCCUAACACAGCAAGUCGAACGGCAGCGCGGGAAAGCUUGUCUUUCCUGGCGGCGAGUGGCGAACGGGUGAGUAAUACGUAGGAAUCUGCCCAGCAGCGGGGGAUAACCCGGGGAAACUCGGGCUAAUACCGCGUACGCCCUACGGGGGAAAGGUGGCCUCUGCUUGCAAGCUGCCACUGUUGGAUGAGCCUACGUCCGAUUAGCUUGUUGGUAGGGUAACGGCCUACCAAGGCGACGAUCGGUAGCUGGUCUGAGAGGAUGAUCAGCCACACUGGGACUGAGACACGGCCCAGACUCCUACGGGAGGCAGCAGUGGGGAAUAUUGGACAAUGGGCGCAAGCCUGAUCCAGCAAUGCCGCGUGUGUGAAGAAGGCUUUCGGGUUGUAAAGCACUUUCAGUAGGGAAGAAAAGCGCCGGGUUAAUACCCCGGCGUCUUGACGGUACCUACAGAAGAAGCACCGGCUAACUCCGUGCCAGCAGCCGCGGUAAUAC
rnacentral:rRNA from 1 species